rnacentral:tmRNA from 1 species
GGGGACGACACGGCUUCGACAGGGAUAGGUCGAGCUUAAGUAGCGAGUCGAGCUGGGCAGUCUCGAUAAAGGCCCACGCCAAUAAUAACUGGCAAAUCUAACGAAAACCUCGCAGUAGCUGCGUAACAGUUGACUGCGGAUCCCGCUCUCCAUCGCCCAUGUGGAGUGACCGGGGUCUCACUAUGAAGUGGGCUACGCUGUCCGGCCGCCGUCUGAGGCCGGCAGAAGAGAUUAAUCAGACUAGCCUUGCAGCGGCCCGUCACUAGGCCAAUGCAACGGCGAACCAUAAUAUAGUGACUACGCUCGUAGAAGCUUAAGUGGCGAUAUUCCUGGACGUGGGUUCGAUUCCCACCGUCUCCACCA